GCAUAGCUCAGUCAGUAGAGCAUGAGACUCUUAAUCUCAGGGUGAUGGAUAUGAGCCCCAUGUUGAGCA